rnacentral:rRNA from 1 species
AGAGUUUGAUCCUGGCUCAGGACGAACGCUGGCGGCGUGCCUAACACAUGCAAGUCGAGCGAGUAAAUCUCCUUCGGGAGUGAAGCUAGCGGCGGACGGGUGAGUAACACGUGGGCAACCUGCCUCAUAGAGGGGAAUAGCCUUCCGAAAGGAAGAUUAAUACCGCAUAAGAUUGUAGCUUCGCAUGAAGUAGCAAUUAAAGGAGCAAUCCGCUAUGAGAUGGGCCCGCGGCGCAUUAGCUAGUUGGUGAGGUAACGGCUCACCAAGGCGACGAUGCGUAGCCGACCUGAGAGGGUGAUCGGCCACAUUGGGACUGAGACACGGCCCAGACUCCUACGGGAGGCAGCAGUGGGGAAUAUUGCACAAUGGGGGAAACCCUGAUGCAGCAACGCCGCGUGAGUGAUGACGGCCUUCGGGUUGUAAAGCUCUGUCUUCAGGGACGAUAAUGACGGUACCUAAGGAGGAAGCCACGGCUAACUACGUGCCAGCAGCCGCGGUAAUACGUAGGUGGCAAGCGUUAUCCGGAUUUACU